rnacentral:rRNA from 1 species
CCUACGUGUGGCAGCAGUGGGGAAUAUUGCACAAUGGGGGAAACCCUGAUGCAGCGACGCCGCGUGAGUGAAGAAGUAAUUCGGUAUGUAAAGCUCUAUCAGCAGGGAAGAAAAUGACGGUACCUGAGUAAGAAGCCACGGCUAACUACGUGCCAGCAGCCGCGGUAAUACGUAGGGGGAAAGCGUUAUCCGGAUUUACUGGGUGUAAAGGGAGCGUGGACGGCAGUGCAAGUCUGGAGUGAAAGGCGGGGGCUCAACCACCGGACUGCUCUGGAAACUGUACGGCUGGAGUGCAGGAGAGGUAAGUGGAAUUCCGAGUGUAGCGGUGAAAUGCGUAGAUAUUAGGAGGAACACCAGUGGCGAAGGCGGCUUACUGGACUGUAACUGACGUUGAGGCUCGAAAGCGUGGGGAGCAAACAGGAUUAGAUACCCGAGUAGUC